rnacentral:rRNA from 1 species
GCGGAGGAAAAGAAACCAACAGGGAUUGCCCUAGUAACGGCGAGUGAAGCGGCAACAGCUCAAAUUUGAAAUCUGGCCUCGGCCCGAGUUGUAAUUUGCAGAGGAUGUUUCUGGCGCGGUGCCUUCCGAGUUCCCUGGAACGGGACGCCACAGAGGGUGAGAGCCCCGUAUGGUUGGACACCAAGCCUGUGUGAAACUCCUUCGACGAGUCGAGUAGUUUGGGAAUGCUGCUCUAAAUGGGAGGUAAAUCUCUUCUAAAGCUAAAUACCGGCCAGAGACCGAUAGCGCACAAGUAGAGUGAUCGAAAGAUGAAAAGCACCUUGAAAAGGGGGUUAAACAGUACGUGAAAUUGUUGAAAGGGAAGCGCUCAUGACCAGACUUGUGCCGGGCGGUUCAUCCGGGGUUCUCCCCGGUGCACUCCGCCCGGCUCAGGCCAGCAUCGGUUCUCGUUGGGGGAUAAGAACGGUAGGAACGUGGCCCUCCCUCGGGAGGGUGUUAUAGCCUGCCGUACGAUACCCUGACGGGGACCGAGGUUCGCGCUCCGCAAGGAUGCUGGCGUAAUGGUCAUCAGCGACCCGUCUUGAAACACGGACCAAGGAGUCGUCCAUUAGAGCGAGCGUUUGGGUGUAAAACCCGCACGCGUAAUGAAAGUGAAAUUAGGUGAGAGCUUCGGCGCAUCAUCGACCGAUCCUGAUGUUCUCGGAUGGAUUUGAGUAAGAGUUUUAACGGACGGACCCGAAAGACAGUGAACUAUGCUUGUAUAGGGUGAAGCCAGAGGAAACUCUGGUGGAGGCUCGCAGCGGUUCUGACG